rnacentral:rRNA from 1 species
AUUGAACGCUGGCGGCAGGCUUAACACAUGCAAGUCGAGCGGUAACAGAGAGAAGCUUGCUUCUCUGCUGACGAGCGGCGGACGGGUGAGUAAUGCCUAGGAAUCUGCCUAGUAGUGGGGGAUAACUUGCCGAAAGGUAAGCUAAUACCGCAUACGUCCUACGGGAGAAAGGAGGGGACCUUCGGGCCUUUCGCUAUUAGAUGAGUCUAGGUCGGAUUAGUUAGUUGGUGAGGUAAUGGCUCACCAAGACCGCGAGCCGUAACUGGUCUGAGAGGAUGAUCAGUCACACUGGAACUGAGACACGGUCCAGACUCCUACGGGAGGCAGCAGUGGGGAAUAUUGGACAAUGGGGGGAACCCUGAUCCAGCCAUGCCGCGUGUGUGAAGAAGGUCUUAGGAUUGUAAAGCACUUUAAGUUGGGAGGAAGAGCAGUUAACUAAUAUUUGACUGUUUUGACGUUACCGACAGAAUAAGCACCGGCUAACUUCGUGCCAGCAGCCGCCGCAG